rnacentral:rRNA from 1 species
UACGUAGGGCGCGAGCGUUGUCCGGAAUUAUUGGGCGUAAAGAGCUCGUAGGCGGCCUGUUGCGUCCGCUGUGAAAUCCCAGGGCUCAACCCUGGGCGUGCAGUGGAUACGGGCAGGCUAGAGUUCGGUAGGGGGAGAUCGGAAUUCCUGGUGUAGCGGUGAAAUGCGCAGAUAUCAGGAGGAACACCGGUGGCGAAGGCGGAUCUCUGGGCCGAUACUGACGCUGAGGAGCGAAAGCGUGGGGAGCGAACAGG